CACAAUUAAAAUUGCUUUCAGAUCCUCUCCCUAUUCAGAAUAAGUAGAAAAGGGUUUGAAACAAAACUAUUACUCUGAGCAAGUAUUGUUUUGUCAUAGAAUCAUAGAAUCCUUAGAGUUGGAAGGGACCUCUGAGGGCCAUCUGGUCCAACUCCUCAGUUUGGAGGAGUUUGAAGUAUGAUCCUGGCUAUUGUUUUUCUAAGAGUCCUUAACUUUAUGUUUUGAUCCAAAAAAUGUUCCAGGUGAGAUGGUUUUGCUCUGAAAUCAGAUGUUAGCAGAUGUCAGCUACCUGUGGCAGAGCAGAUGCCCCGUGAUGGCUGGAUUUGCAGGUUCAGGGGUGUGAAUUUGGAAGAUACUUAAUGAUUUACAAAGAUGAUUAAAACAUUCUUUUCUGAAAAUGCAUAAACUAGACAUGUCCAGCAAUGUCCAUGCAUGGAAGAAAAGGAGUAUUUUAUUUUUGACUAUAGUCAGACCGAGAUUUCAGCCCUUGAAAUCAGCCUCUUAUUAAAAUGCAAAAGUAGAACAUGGUGAAAAGAAA